rnacentral:rRNA from 1 species
GACGAACGCUGGCGGCGUGCCUAAUACAUGCAAGUUGAGCGCUGAAGGUUGGUACUUGUACCAACUGGAUGAGCAGCGAACGGGUGAGUAACGCGUGGGGAAUCUGCCUUUGAGCGGGGGACAACAUUUGGAAACGAAUGCUAAUACCGCAUAAAAACUUUAAACACAAGUUUUAAGUUUGAAAGAUGCAAUUGCAUCACUCAAAGAUGAUCCCGCGUUGUAUUAGCUAGUUGGUGAGGUAAAGGCUCACCAAGGCGAUGAUACAUAGCCGACCUGAGAGGGUGAUCGGCCACAAUGGGACUGAGACACGGCCCAAACUCCUACGGGAGGCAGCAGUAGGGAAUCUUCGGCAAUGGACGAAAGUCUGAACGAGCAACGCCGCGUGAGUGAAGAAGGUUUUCGGAUCGGAAAACUCUGUUGGUAGAGAAGAACGUUGGUGAGAGUGGAAAGCUCAUCAAGUGACGGUAACUACCCAGAAAGGGACGGCUAACUACGUG